GGAGUUAGGAAAUGCAAGUCUGUUAAUACCAGAUUUGUUUGACAAAAGCUCCAGAGGAAGCCACGGCUAACUCUGUGCCAGCAGCCGCGGUAAUACAGAGGUGGCAAGCGUUGUUCGGAACUAUUGGGCGUAAAGAGCACGUAGGUGGGUUUGUAAGUCAGACGUGAAAGCCUUCUGUUCAACGGAAGAAUUGCAUCUGAAACUACAAAUCUUGAGUAUAGGAGGGGAGAGUGGAACUUCUGGU
rnacentral:rRNA from 1 species